rfam:Myotis davidii contig48381, whole genome shotgun sequence.
GGCGGUUCUCAGGUGAUGCACCCUGAAAUCGGGCUCCCUCUUCUCUGGUUUCGAGUGUGUCACUCGAGAACCACA